rnacentral:lncRNA from 1 species
UGCUGCUACUGUCAGCUCCGACAGAUUUAUAGCCCAUUCAUUCAUGGGAACAAAAACCCUGCCACGGCUGGUCAUGGGACACGCAAUAGCAGUUAGUUCAAAAGAUAACAGCUGCAAUACCUCACCUCUCCAUUCAGCACUACAGAGCCAGCACUACUUCGGAGUCCACCCAACACAAGCUGGGUUGCUGAACCUUUGCAACUCAAGCACUUAGGCAACGCUGAAAAGCCGAGCUUCCUCGUGGUAAGUGGCAAUGUGGGUAUAUACAUUCUCCUUGCAAACUGAUCAGAAACAGAGCUCGGGCAUGAGUCCUGUCCCGACAAGAAGAGGCAGCUGGUCUGACUAGUCCACCACCAUCCUCAGAGCCUGGACACACACAACAAGCAUGUAUUAAAAGAAUCCAUGGA